GACGGGUAGCCGGCCUGAGAGGGCGACCGGCCACACUGGGACUGAGACACGGCCCAGACUCCUACGGGAGGCAGCAGUGGGGAAUAUUGGGCAAUGGAGGAAACUCUGACCCAGCGACGCCGCGUGCGGGAUGAAGGCCUUCGGGUUGUAAACCGCUUUCAGUAGGGAAGAAGCGAAAGUGACGGUACCUACAAAAGAAGCACCGGCUAACUAUGUGCCAGCAGCCGCGGUAAUACAUAGGGUGCAAGCGUUGUCCGGAAUUAUUGGGCGUAAAGAGCUCGUAGGUCGUUUGUUACGUCGGAUGUGAAAACCUGAGGCUCAACCUCAGGCCUGCAUUCGAUACGGGCAAACUAGAGUUUGGUAGGGGAGACUGGAAUUCCU
rnacentral:rRNA from 1 species